UGGAGUGUUCAGUUAUGGGAAGGUCAAAAUGCAGCGUUUUCAAGUCUGGGGGACUGGGGGUCGCAGGUUCGAAUCCUGUCGCUCCGACCA
rnacentral:tRNA from 1 species